AUGAACGCUGGCGGCGUGCCUAAUCCAUGCAAGUCGAGCGAACGGACGAGAAGCUUGCUUCUCUGAUGUUAGCGGCGGACGGGUGAGUAACACGUGGAUAACCUACCUAUAAGACUGGGAUAACUUCGGGAAACCGGAGCUAAUACCGGAUAAUAUUUUGAACCGCAUGGUUCAAAAGUGAAAGACGGUCUUGCUGUCACUUAUAGAUGGAUCCGCGCUGCAUUAGCUAGUUGGUAAGGUAACGGCUUACCAAGGCAACGAUGCAUAGCCGACCUGAGAGGGUGAUCGGCCACACUGGAACUGAGACACGGUCCAGACUCCUACGGGAGGCAGCAGUAGGGAAUCUUCCGCAAAGGGCGAAAGCCUGACGGAGCAACGCCGCGUGAGUGAUGAAGGUCUUCGGAUCGUAAAACUCUGUUAUUAGGGAAGAACAUAUGUGUAAGUAACUGUGCACAUCUUGACGGUACCUAAUCAGAAAGCCACGGCUAACUACGUG
rnacentral:rRNA from 1 species